GCCGGCAGCUAGCUCUCUGCAACUCCCACAUGGUCGCCCUCUAAAGCUAAGCAGGGCUGCGCCUGGUCAGUACCUGGAUGUGAGACCACAUGGGAAACCUAGGUUACUGCCGGAA
rnacentral:rRNA from 1 species